AAACCAGCACCUCAAGUGGUCAGGAUGAUUAUUGGGCCUAAAGCAUCCGUAGCCGGCUCUGUAAGUUUUCGGUUAAAUCUGUACGCUCAACGUACAGGCUGCCGGAAAUACUGCAGGGCUAGGGAGUGGGAGAGGUAGACGGUACUCGGGAGGAAGGGGUAAAAUCCUUUGAUCUCUUGAUGACCACCUGUGGCGAAGGCGGUCUACCAGAACACGUCCGACGGUGAGGGAUGAAAGCUGGGGGAGCAAACCGGAUUAGAUACCCGAGUAGUCC
rnacentral:rRNA from 1 species